GACGAACGCUGGCGGCGUGCUUAACACAUGCAAGUCGAACGAUGAACCACUUCGGUGGGGAUUAGUGGCGAACGGGUGAGUAACACGUGGGCAAUCUGCCCUUCACUCUGGGACAAGCCCUGGAAACGGGGUCUAAUACCGGAUACAACACUCUCGGGCAUCCGAUGAGUGUGGAAAGCUCCGGCGGUGAAGGACGAGCC
rnacentral:rRNA from 1 species